rnacentral:rRNA from 1 species
UACGAGAGGCCCAAACGUUAUUCGGAAUUACUGGGCUUAAAGAGUUCGUAGGCGGCUUUGUAAGUCAGGUGUGAAAUCCCUCGGCUCAACCGAGGAAUGGCGCUUGAUACUGCAAGGCUUGAGGGAGACAGGGGUAAGCGGAACUGAUGGUGGAGCGGUGAAAUGCGUUGAUAUCAUCAGGAACACCGGUGGCGAAAGCGGCUUACUGGGUCUCUUCUGACGCUGAGGAACGAAAGCUAGGGGAGCGAACGGG